AUAUCAAUAAGCGGAGGAAAAGAAACCAACAGGGAUUGCCUCAGUAACGGCGAGUGAAGCGGCAAAAGCUCAACUUUGGAAUCGCUGCGGCGAGUUGUAGUCUGGAGGUCCCUCUUCCAUGCUGCGGUGCGGUGCAAGUCCUUUGGAACAAGGCGCCAGCGAGGGUGACAGCCCCGUCCCACCACCACCAUACGCAUCUGGAGGGCACCGACGAGUCGAGUUGUUUGGGAAUGCAGCUCUAAGUGGGUGGUAAAUUCCAUCUAAAGCUAAAUACCGGCGAGAGACCGAUAGCGAACAAGUACAGUGAUGGAAAGAUGAAAAGCACUUUGAAAAGAGAGUGAAACAGUACGUGAAAUUGUUGAAAGGGAAGGGCUUGCACCCAGACACGGCCUCGGCCGGGCCAGCAUCUGGUGGGAGAGAACGAGAAAGAGUGGUUGAUGUAGCUGCCAGGCUCGCCUGGCAGUGUUAUACAGCUGCUUUAUGGUUCUUCUCCCGCCAGAGGACUGCAAUCUAGGAUGCUGGCGCA
rnacentral:rRNA from 1 species